rnacentral:rRNA from 1 species
GUUUGAUCCUGGCUCAGAGCGAACGUUUGCGGCGGGCCUAACACAUGCAAGUCGAACGGGCUAGCAAUAGUCAGUGGCGCACGGGUGCGUAACACGUGGGUAAUCAACCCUUCAGCUCGGGAUAACGCCUUGAAAGGGGCGCUAAUACCGGAUACGACGCGAGGAGCUUCGGCUGCUUGCGGGAAAGAUUCGCAAGGAUCUCUGAAGGACGAGCCUGCGGCCCAUCAGCUAGUUGGUGAGGUAAGAGCUCACCAAGGCGAAGACGGGUAGCUGGUCUGAGAGGAUGAUCAGCCACACUGGAACUGAGACACGGUCCAGACUCCUACGGGAGGCAGCAGUGGGGAAUAUUGCGCAAUGGGCGAAAGCCUGACGCAGCCACGCCGCGUGAGCGAUGAAGGCCUU